UACAUGGGGUGCAAACGUUGCUCGGAAUUAUUGGGCGUAAAGCGCGCGUAGGCGGUUACUCAAGUCGGGUGUGAAAGCCCCGGGCUCAACCUGGGAAUUGCAUUCGAGACUGAAUAGCUAGGGUACGGUAGAGGGAAGUGGAAUUUCCGGUGUAGCGGUGAAAUGCGUAGAUAUCGGAAGGAACAUCAGUGGCGAAAGCGACUUCCUGGACCAGUACCGACGUUCAGGCACGAAAGCGUGGGGAGCAAACAGG
rnacentral:rRNA from 1 species